rnacentral:rRNA from 1 species
CCUACGGGAGGCAGCAGUGGGGAAUAUUGGACAAUGGGCGAAAGCCUGAUCCAGCCAUGCCGCGUGUGUGAAGAAGGCCUUCGGGUUGUAAAGCACUUUCAGUGGGGAAGAAAGCCUUGGGGCUAAUACCCUCGAGGAAGGACAUCACCCACAGAAGAAGCACCGGCUAACUCCGUGCCAGCAGCCGCGGUAAUACGGAGGGUGCGAGCGUUAAUCGGAAUUACUGGGCGUAAAGCGCGCGUAGGCGGUCUGAUAAGCCGGUUGUGAAAGCCCCAGGCUCAACCUGGGAACGGCAUCCGGAACUGUCAGGCUAGAGUGCAGGAGAGGAAGGUAGAAUUCCCGGUGUAGCGGUGAAAUGCGUAGAGAUCGGGAGGAAUACCAGUGGCGAAGGCGGCCUUCUGGACUGACACUGACGCUGAGGUGCGAAAGCGUGGGUAGCAAACAGGAUUAGAUACCCCUGUAGUC